UGGCUAUAUCAGUUUGAAACUGAUUCUCGUACAAUCACCGAAGUUAAACAAUGUGAAGCCUGGUCAGUACUUAGAUGGGUGACGACUUAGGAAUACCAGGUGCUGUAAG